UUUCUAUGGGUGUCUUUCAAUUUCUUGUUUGACAUAUGUCUUUUGAGUGUAGUUGGCUCACUUGGUGAACUCCUGUAAGAAAGUGUAGUGUACCUUUAAGAAGUGCAAGCUCUCUAAAGUCACAUGACCUGCAUUUGUUUUAAGAAAGGAAAUGGUAACUCUGCACUCACUUUCAACAUCUGAGUCAGACCCUGUGUGCAGCCAGCUAGUUAAUUACCUGCUGUCACUGCUCUGAACUGCUGUCACUGCUGUUACCUGCGGUUACUGCUGCUAUCUACUACUGUUGCUGCCACUACUUUGCACUGCCACUGUGGAAGAAAAAUAAAAAGCAAAAGUGAAAA